rnacentral:misc_RNA from 1 species
GUAGGUGAACCUGCGGAAGGAUCAUUAACACGUCUCCAAAACGUUUUAAAACUCAAAAUUUUUGUGAACAGGAAUCGCUUGCGAUUUCCUCCCUAUUUUUUCACCCCCCUUUUUUUUAAUUCGAAUGAACUGAAAAAACAAACAAAGAAAUUUUUAAUUAAAUUUUUUUACGAAAUGCUGAACAACUCUUAACAACGGAUAUCUUGGUUCUC